rnacentral:lncRNA from 1 species
AUGCUAACGGACAAGAACACAACUGAAGCCUCUCCAGAGGAGAUGGUGAAGGAGAGAAACAAUCGCAACUUCUGGAGGAGAAGGCUGGGACAUCACAUCGCUGGGACAACAAGGCUGGGACCCUGCAGGACCCUCGAGGGGCUACGCCGUUCAUCCCUGCAGGAUGUCCCUUCCUCCUCCUUCAGGAGGGUGGCAAAGCCCAGGUUGGGGAGACUUUCAAAGCUCAAACUACGCCCCAGCCACCCCACUCCAGGGCCGGUGAUGGUCCUCCUGUGGGCAGGAGGUGGAACUGAGACCCCCAGAGCUCCCAUCCUACCAACUCCCAUCCCACCAACACUGGCGCUGGCAGCGUUCCGGGACCAUCCCUUUUGGGGAUGCCACUGUGGAACCAUAAGUAGGAAGGAACUUCUUCAGGUCCAGGACUGUCCGUGUGUCGCUUGCUGAGCAUCCCAGACUGUGCUCAGCUGAAGGUCCUCACCUUCAAGAAGAAGUGUCCCUCUUCUCCAUGUCUUGAUCUAUUUCUUUCUCCACCAUUCUCUUGCUGGUGAGGCAGCUCUGAGGGAUGAAGCCCGCUUUGUCCCUUGCAGUUUCUCCAUCCAUCUCAGCAUCACCUACCUGCCCCACCUUGGGUGAAGCCCUUCAUCUCCAGCAGCUCCACCUUGGGGUUUGGAAGAAAACCAGAAAAAACCUUCAGCCCAUUUUGCUUCAGUUUUGGUAGAUCCUUUGUGCAAUGGAUUUAAGGAGCGGGUGAAGACAGGGAGGCCCUAAAUGCCACUGGUUUUAUGGCCGGGAGGGGGGACAUUUCUUCCUUGAUCACCUGAAGGAGAAGGGGGACUGUGGUUGCGCUGCCCAGGAGGGGUCAUGUCCCAAGCAGAUGUUACUGCUCUCCAUCAUUUUUGGGAACUCUUGGAGAGCAGGAGAAGCGCCUGAGGACUGGAGGAAGGCAAAUAUCACUCCAGUCUACAAAAAGGGCAAGAAGGAGGACCCAGGGAACUACAGGCCAAUUAGUCUCACCUCUGUCCCUGGGAAAAUAAUGUGGCAACUCAUUCUGGAUGUCAUCUCCAAACACACUGAAGAUCAAGAAGUUAUUGGAAGUGGCAAGGGCAAAUCAUGCUCGACCAAUCUGACAGCUUUCUAUGAUGUUAU